rnacentral:lncRNA from 1 species
UUUUUUUUUUUUACUUCAGAAGCUCUUUUGUUUCUCUGGGAUGUUCCUUUCCCAUAGCAAUCUUGUUCUAGUUCCAGGAAUAUAAAAUUUUCUUAUUUCACUGAUAAUUUUAAUGAUUGUUUCCUUCAUCCUUGAAUAGUUUUAUUAUUCCAAGUAGAUUUUACCUGUUUAUUCUGGCCUCUGUCAUUCAUGUUAUGGGCUUUUCUCAGCAUCUGAGAUCCCAAGGUUAAUAGCUCAUUGUUAAGAGUAGAGAAUUGGACACCUAGAGCUCGGUUUGCAUUUGAGCGUCUCUGAAGCCACUCUGUGGCUGGAUGGUUUGGGAGUAAUGCAUGACCUUGAUGUUUGUAUCUUUCCUCUUAGGCUGGUCGUAUUCUCUAGAAAAGACCCUUUACAUCUGCCUUGGCAGAUAAAGACCAGGUUUGGGCUUUUGAGAGUCGAGAAGGAGAAGCAGGUGGAAGGAUUGGCUCAUUCCGUAGUCCUGGUUUCUGUAAGAUUACAUUGUCUUUUGUCCAAGACACUUCUCACCUUACUCCCUGCAGAAGAUAAUCCUCCAGUUUUCAGUGCCGCAUGGCUGAGGGGGAAGGGCAGCAAGUACCCUGCAAGAAGGGUGGGGUAGGAUUAUUGGUAAGUCGUGUAAAUAAAAAAGUAAGCAAGUAUCAAUUUCAAGAAGAUAAAAAUAUAGCUAUGGAGAAAGAGUAACUACAGUUUGCUAAUGGAUCAGCUAGUGACCUAAUAUUAUCUGUCUCCUUAUUGUGGUUGCCCUCACCUCAGGUACCUUGGGCUGCUAAUUCCUGAGCCUUUGGAAGAUUUUGUUAUGUAAAUGAAAUGAUUUUCUGCCUUUUUUCAGUAGCUAGUUUGGGUGUCCUGUAGUUCCUCUUUGAUCGCUGUGUUUCACAGCUUCCAGAGUCACUUUUCUUUAAUUCUCCAUAUCUUUGUAAACUUAUGCCCUUAAAAUAAAAUUACACACACAUCUUUAUUACAUUUUAGAGAGAUUUUAUGCAAGCGCAAAAUUAGAUGUUUAUUUAACCUGGAAAUGUUGAUAUCCUCUAAAAAAAAGUAUUUGUUUACUUUUGUUUUCUUAUUUACUGUUUUAUCAAGCUCGAUGUUUAAUUUUGUCAAAUCCAAGCAUGCCAAAAUUUCGGAGUCAGAGGGAAGGGUUUCUGCUUUCUAACCAUUGUUAUUUUUAAUUUUUAGUUAUGCCUGGGGUAAUAGCUCUGUGAUGAAGAUUACCCUUCAGCUUUCUCAUCUGAAAGAAGGUUGUUUGCUCUAAGAGCCACUACAUCCAUCCAUGCCUUACUCCAAUUUGAAUUUUCUUUAGACCUCACCCCUGUUAACACAAGAAAUGAAUCAGCUCCUUUGACAUAUGGGUGCUAUUACAAACUCAAGCUAAUCCCCAAGUGACUUUGUAUUUUACUUUGGUGUGUGUCAUUUGUUGAUUGUAUGGAAUUUUAUCCCCAGUCAGAGCUAAAAUCUAGGUAAUAAAAAGGAAAAAUAAUUCAGAGUAUUAGUUAAGCGUUUACUAAACAUUUGCUGAUUACCUGUUAUAGUCAAGGCUCUAUCCUGGGAGCUAUAACGGAAGAGAAUGCUCUUGUUCUUGGAGAGGUUAUACUUUAAAAAAAAGAAACAGGGAACAAACAUGAAAUACCUAGUGAAUAUUGGAGAACCAUUCUUUCCACUUGUUUUACCAGAUGUUUGUCUUUAAAAACAAUCAGGGAAAUAGGAAAUGAAAUUAUUAAUGUAUGUAUUCGCCUUAGAUCUUGGCUUCAUUUUUUAGCCUUUAUAAAAUAGCCCUUUUUUUGGAAUCACAUAAUAUAGUGACAUAAUUAAAAUCUGUACCUGUUAACACUCUUCCAUCAGCAUUUCUUGAAUUUUCAGUAAUUGUUUUUAACCCUCAAAGAUUACUUUAGGAGAAGAAUAUGAUAGAAAAAAAGGUAAUUUGAAAAAAAGGGAAAUGUUUUAUAUUCAGUGCUUUUCUUUCCUUUUACACUUCCGUACAUAGAUUUGAUUCCAUGACUGUUUACCUUCUACAGUACAGAGAGAGAGAGAGAGAAUUGUAUUUCAGUCGUCUAUUGUUCUUGCAGGCAUUUACUUUUGUCAUCUGCUGCUCCUGAGCAUGUUAGUACUGGCAACUCGUUUUCUUCUCUCUUACUGAACUUUGCAACUGCUUCUAAGUUUCUCAAGAAUAUUUCUGAUUUUAUUACUGUGUCCAGAUACUUGGCGUGGCAGUAGGAGUGAAGAGAUGGCUGGUGUUGAUCAGUAGAAAUCUGUAUAUCUUCGCCUUCAGGGCUAAAAUUAUAAUAAAGUCAUACUGCCUAAUGGCAAGACGACGACCUGGAUUGGGUUGUGAUGGUGGUUGUACAACUAUAAAUGUAAUAAAAUCCAUUGAGUUUUUUUAAAAAAAGACUAGGACUUGGGUUUUCUUAUGCCCAGUGUUGUCUCCACUGACCAGACUAAAUUAUUUCAUGAUUUUUCUUUAUACAUCUAUCACUUGUCGAAGUGGAAGCCCUCCAUGACGAAACGGAGCCCUUGCCAAGUGUUCUAAUUUGUUAGCCUUUUUGUCUCUUGGAUAUUUUCCUUCUUUCUGUUUAGGGAAAAUAUUGAGGUUUUGCUUCACAUAGGGAUCAUUUAUGGGAAAUGCUGCUUAUAAUCUGUGAUAAAAGCUGGGAAAGAUAAGCAUGGUUUUGGGGCCAAUCAGAUAAGUUGAAUUCUUGAUAAACUUAUUUUUUCAUCAUGUUGACUCACCUCUGGCAAGUCUCUUAAACUUUCCAGGCUUCAUUUUUCCCAUCUACAGACUGGAAAUAAUAUUUCUAUUCUCCAGCUUAUGGCAGUUUUUUGAGACGACAGUGGGAUAGGAAAUGUGGGAAGGUAGUAAUCUACAGGUGAGUAGUUAGCAUUUGGACUUAAGGAGAGACUUCCAGCAACACUCAGGAUUCUGAGUUAGAGCGAAUGCGAAGAUGAGCGUUAAAGUGACGAAUGAAGGUGGGAGACAUUGGACAACUCGCCUAAAAAUGAAAUUAAGGUAUCUACGCAGUAUGCAGGCUGGAUUCAGUGAUGGAGGAGUUGUAAAAAGUAAGGGGUCCUUAGACUUAACACUGAUUCCGCGGAUGGCUUGUGAUUAAAUUAGAGUGUGUGGGUUUCUGUUUAUAUUAGCAGAAAAGUCUAAAAGAACUCUUACAGAAGGGGCUCUUGAGAGCAGCAAUAGUAGGAAAUGCCUGCUGAGUCGCUUGGUGUACAUAGAAAAGAUGGCGUAUGUGAUCAUUGUGCAAGUCGGAGCGUAACUGUGGCAUUACAAAAGCGCGAGAAAAGUCCUCUGGCCUGAUAAAUAUUUGUCAAGAAUAAACAUAGAACUUAAUUCUCGGUCAUCUCAUGGUAGAUACCCUGGAGCUACAUGUAAAAUCUGCACUUUUCCUUGUGUGUGGGAGGGAGGGGGCUCACAGUGGAAGGUACGUUGUUUUCAUUUAUUCCCACAGCGUCUUGAAGGCUCUUUUUUCUUUUUGAAAUAUAAAGGGUGUGAUUAGGGUAAAAGUGAGGAAAAUAAUCUGAUUUGUAGGAUGAAAAUGUAAAGAAUUAAGACUAAUUGUUAAUGAGUUUCAUUCAUUGUGAUUCUUAAUUGUUGGCAUUAAAGAAGUCUUACAAGUUAGAGUGCACCUGUGAAAAUUAUGAAAAGGUGUUAUUUAAUACGACCUAGACUGAAAUGGCUUACUAGGAAAAAAAAAAUUCAUGAUAAAAAAUACAAACUAAUAUGAGAGGCAUGAGGUAUUUAAGGAAUGAAGUGUUCUGUAUAAGGAGAAUAUCUUUGAGGAGACAAAUCCAUGAGUUGAGAAGUGAAGUUAAACAUUUUCGCUUGGUAAAGUCUUGUAUAUAAGGGUGCUUAAUUUUAUUAGGUAAAGUGGUUUUUCCUAAUCCUAUGAGUCUGUACAGAAACCUCUGAACCCUCAUGAUAUUGACUCUCCAAAUAUGCAAUUCAUGGUUUGAGCAGCCCAUUUGAUCAGUUAUUGUUGUGUUAUGCAGGUAUGCAUAAAUAUAUUAAUUUUGUAAGGAUUUUAAGAUAUGACCAGAUAGAGCCAAGAGCCCUUUUAACUAACCCUUCUUUCAAUAUCUGCUCCUUCCUCAGAGGUACCUGUAGUACUUUGCUUUAUAUCUUUCCAGACCUGUUUCUGUAUAUUUGCACAUAUAUUUGUACCUGUAGAAAAGGUAAUGUGGUGUUUCCUGUGCUUCAUUUCGGAACAUACCACACAAUACUGUUUUAUGACACUUGCUUUUUUCCAUGGGGUGGGGGGAAGCACAUGUCUUGGAGAGCUUUUUGCAUGUUAGUGUAUAUAAAACCACGUUCUUUUAACUGUUGGAGUUUAUUCGCAGGAUGGGAUUUAGCCAUUCCCGAGAUGAGGAACUUUGAGACUGUGUCUGUUUUGUUUUGUUCUCUUCUCAUGUUUUCCAAUGAUACCGCAAUGAACAUCCUAAAACGUUGCCUCAUUGGAAGCAAUAUUACCAAUUAUCAUGAAGCGCUUUCACUUGAUAAUAGGUUGUGAUGAUGAAGAUUUAGUAAACACUUCGAAAUUUUUUUUACUAAAAACAUUACUUAUAGGAGUUCCCACCAUGGCUCAGUGGUUAACGAAUCCAACUAGGAACCGUGAGGUUGCGGGCUCGAUCCCUGGCCUUGCUCAAUGGGUUAAGGAUCUGGCAUUGCCGUGAGCUGUGGUGUAGGUUGCAGACGAGGCUCGGAUCCCGCGUUGCUGUGGCUCUGGUGUAGGCCAGCGGCUAUGGCUCCGAUUGAACCCCUAGCCUGGGAACCUCCAUAUGCUGCAGGAGCAGCCUAAGAAAUGGCAAAAAGACAAAUAAAUAAAUAAAACAUUACUUAUAUCCUGGUAAUGGUGGCAUGAAGAGGCUUGCAGUUCCCCUCUGCAAAAAGCAAAUAUAAAAGCGAACAAAAUUGUCAAAAACAGCCAUUUAGGGGUAGUGGAAGUUGACCCAGGGCAGUUAAAAAACUGAUCUGGCACAGCUGUUGGGACUUGGGGUGAGACCUGCGUGAGUCUGGGGCAUUUUGGCCUGGGUGCCCCCCAGCUCCCUCUCCAGGCAUGCUCCACUACUCUCUCCCCUCUCCUCCCCUCCCGAGUUGGAGAAAACUGAAGCUUUACCAGCUUGGGACUAGAAAAUUGAAAAAAUGGGACUGAGAAAACCAGCAAUUUUGCUGCCAAAUGGUGGAGGUGGAGGAGUAACUUGAUUCGGGGAAGGGAGGAAUGAGAGGGCACAAAAACCUGUGGCUUUGCAAGGUGCAAAGUGGUGGACUUGGUUGGAAACAAAUGGAGAAAACCUGCUGCCUUGCUUGCUCAAGGUUGUGGACCUGGUUUGGGGUGAACAGUGGACCACAAGAAAUUUAAUAGGGAAAAUCCCAGAAAUGAGAGAACCGUAGAAGGGCUGAGAUAUGCUGUCCACACAGCUCUGGUUGAUGGGGAAACUACGUAUGUGAAGGGGAGACCUAAGAGAGCCUGCUGCCAUGUUAAAUGCAUUCCCUGUUCUAUACGCAAAUCAACUGGCAGAGGCUGGACAUCUUAAAGGCUCGAGAUGUUUGAGCACAGCCAUUGCCCAAGUCAUGUGUUGACCAUUAAGCUGUGCAGACAUAAGCACAAUGCGUGGGAAACCAAGCUAAAAAAUAAAAGUAAGAAUUAAAAAACUGAACAGAGAUGUCUCAGCUGCAUACCAUGUAGGGAAACUAAUUCUGCAGUUUAAGUCCAGAUGAAUUACUAAAAAAGACCCAACAUCUCUGAAAAAAUACAAUAAAUCUAGAGCUACUAUAUAAUAAAAGUUCAGUUUUCAAAUAAAAACUGCUGGAUAUGGGGGAAAAAAAAAAACUUAUGAACACAUGACCCAUAAUCAUGUGGAGUCAGGAGUCAGUAGAAACUCCAAGUGGGUUUGAUACUGUAUUUAACAGAGGCUUCACACUGGCUAUUUUAUUUUUUAUUUACUAGGGGUGCACCUGCAGCAUAUGGAAGUUCCCAGGCUAGGGGUUAAAUCGGAGCUACAGCUGCUGGCCUGUGCCAGAGCCACAGCAAUGCUGGAUCCGAGCCAUGUCUGCAAACCUACACCACAGCUCUCGUCAACUGAGCAAGGCCAGGGAUCAAACCUGCAUCCUCAUGGAUUCGUUGGAUUCGUUUCAGCUGAGCCAUGACAGGAACUCCCAAAUGGGCUACUUUAAAUACGUUCAGAGACUUGAAGGACAAUAUGUCAACACUUAGAAGAGAAUACCAAUAGAGAAAUUAGAAAAGAAGAACCAAAUAGAAAUUUUAGAUUUGAAAAGUACAAUAAUUGAAAUGAAAAUUUCAUUGGAUAGGCUCAGUAAUAGAUUUGAGGUGGCAGAGAAAACCUGAAGGUCAGUAAAAGAGUAUUCAGUCCAAAGAAGAGAGAAAAAAUACUAAGAAAGGUACACAGAGCCUCAGAGACCUGUGGGUCAGUGUCAGACAUUUCAACGUAGAUGUAAUGAGAGUUCCAGACAGAAAGGAAGGAGGAAAAGAGGCAGAGAACAAUUAUCUGAAGAAAUAGCGGCACCAAACCUCCCCAGAUUUCAUGGAAAAUAAACCUUAAAGGGUUCCGGUAAGAUGGAGUAAGCACUGUACUCCUUGUUUCUGCCACUGAAUGUGCAGCUGCAACAACAGACAGCACGCGGAGUGAAUGUGCAGCUGCAAGACUGGACAGGGUGCAAAGGCAGUAGUAGCAGACGGGUUGAAAAAGACAACGUGAAAUUUAUGUACCAUUGAAUCAAUUGUAGGUUUACUUUUUUAGCUUUGGUAUUCCCUGCACCUAUCCCCAAACCCAGAGCAAUCAGAACGGACAGAUAGAACUCCAGAAACUUGCUGGUUCUGGCUUAAAGAGCAAGAUGCUCAGCAGGAGUGCAGAAAUCUCUCUCUCUCUUCCCCCUCUCUCUUUCCCUAUGUUUUCUUGCCCCCAGGAGAUCCUUUGGCAGCAGUGUUGAAGCAGUGACAACAGCCAAGAGGAGCCUAACUAAAAACUCCUAAGCAAGAAACCUUCCUCUUCAGUUGGAGGAAUUACAGUUCCUGUUGUUUUGUGUGUGUGUUUUCCUGUGUUGUUUUAUUGCCUGAACCAGGUCAGGAGCCCAGCUAUAGAAAGGUCUCUGCAGGAUGGGUUAAGCUAUACCUCACAUUUCCGGUUGGAGGAUCAGGAAAGAGCAUCCCAGACAACUUGAAGUGCCGGGCAGAUUACAGAGGAGGUUUGAAAAGAGACUUCUUAAAGUUGUUUGUGCAUGUGAGGUUUGCCCAGGGAGGAAUGCGCAAGGCCAAGUUGGUGAAAACAGGAGAGAUUUAUUAAGGCAUCGCAGAGGAAUGGGCUGAGCUCAAGGCGGCACCAGCCCUGACUGAGGAGGUGCCAGGCUCGUCAAGGAUCCGUGGCAGAAUCUGUGGCUGGAGUUCCUGGCGGGAUCUUGUGGCAGAAGCGAUGGGGAAGGAGGAGGGGAAGGGCAAGGGGGGAGGAGGAGGCGUUAAUCCUCGUAGGGUAACCUUCGCAGGCGGUUGUUUUCCGAAGGCCGUUGUUGCUGCCCAGCUUAAGCCUCCACAUUCUGGAAAGGGUGUAGAUUUUGUGCUGGGCUGUUGCCAUGUCCACAGCAGGUCUCCAGUGGGAACAGCCACAUUCCGGGGGCGGGGGGUUGAGGAGGGUCUGUCUCCACCCUCCUUGGACCCUCUCAGUGCACGCCUGGGCUCAUCUGUGAGAUGUGCAUACAUGGAUCUGACUCAGAAGAACAUACAUAGAUGUUUAGUACUGAAAUAGCAGUAGACCGCCAACUAAGUCCCCACUGGCUAGUGGGUGGUACAUAUGUGGGACAGAGUCAAAUAACACUGAAAGUUUUGAACAGUUUACUGGUUUCUUAUAAAGUUUAAUACCACUAACCAUGUGAUUUAGCCAUCUCUUCGGUAUUUACCCAAGAGAAAUGAAAACUUAAGCUCAUAAACAAGGGUGCCGACAAGCAUGGAAGGCUGAACUAAAAUGGCAUUGGUACCUUAGAGGGUCAGAAUUUGAGACCUGAACUCAGCUGAGUCAGUUGCUUGCUAAAACAAAAAUAUCGGCACUCUGCUUAAGAUUUCAAUAAGACAGAGGCGUAUAUUAUUAACAAUGUACAGCAUACAAUUCAGAAUUCCUUGGCAUAUGAAGAACCUUGGAAAACCUUAACUCACAUGAACAAAGAUAAUCAUCAGACAUCAGCACUGAGACGGCACAGAUGUAGGAUUCAUCUGAGAAAGAUUUAAAGCAGGUUUUAUAAACAUGCUUCAAUAAGUGAGGGCGAGUGCUCUUGGAAUGAACGAAAAUAUAGAAUGUCUCAGUAAAGAAAAACUAAAUGGAAAUUUUGGAACUAAAAAAUAAAAUUCCUUGGACAAGCACAAUAGCAGAAUGGAGAUGACAGUUCAUGAACUUGAAGAUAGGAUCAAUAGAAAUUUAUCCAAAUUGAAAAAA